rnacentral:rRNA from 1 species
AUUGAACGCUGGCGGCAGGCUUAACACAUGCAAGUCGAGCGGUAACAGAGAGAAGCUUGCUUCUCUGCUGACGAGCGGCGGACGGGUGAGUAAUGCCUAGGAAUCUGCCUAGUAGUGGGGGAUAACUUGCCGAAAGGUAAGCUAAUACCGCAUACGUCCUACGGGAGAAAGGAGGGGACCUUCGGGCCUUUCGCUAUUAGAUGAGCCUAGGUCGGAUUAGUUAGUUGGUGAGGUAAUUGCUCACCAAGACCGCGAUCCGUAACUGGUCUGAGAGGAUGAACAGUCACACUGGAACUGAGACACGGUUCAGACUCCUACGGGAGGCAGCAGUGGGGAAUAUUGGACAAUGGGGGGAACCCUGAUCCAGCCAUGCCGCGUGUGUGAAGAAGGUCUUAGGAUUGUAAAGCACUUUAAGUUGGGAGGAAGAGCAGUUAACUAAUAUUUGACUGUUUUGACGUUACCGACAGAAUAAGCACCGGCUAACUUCGUGCCAGCCGCCGCAGUAA